rnacentral:rRNA from 1 species
UCUUCCUACGGGAGGCAGCAGUAGGGAAUCUUCCACAAUGGGCGAAAGCCUGAUGGAGCAACGCCGCGUGGGUGAAGAAGGUCGUCGGAUCGUAAAAGCCUGUUGUUAGAGAAGAAAGUGCGUGAGAGUAACUGUUCACGUUUCGACGGUAUCUAACCAGAAAGCCACGGCUAACUACGUGCCAGCAGCCGCGGUAAUACGUAGGCGGCAAGCGUUAUCCGGAUUUAUUGGGCGUAAAGGGAACGCAGGCGGUCUUUUAAGUCUGAUGAGAAAGCCUUCGGCUUAACCGGAGUAGUGC